rnacentral:misc_RNA from 1 species
CGAAAAUACAUUAGAAAAAAAAAAUCAGUGAAAUAAUUGUUUUUCAUAUAAGUUAUAAUUUUAGUUAAAAAAAAAAUAAAUAUUAACCUAGUGCAAUAAUAUUUGAUAUGGUAAUUGGAAAUACAUUUUACAAAGAUUCUAUUACGAAUAUUUUUAUGGUUGUGAAUGACUAAUAUGGACAAAUCUUGAGAACUUUUACCCUUAUUUCACCAGCUGACAAUAAAAAAUGAGCUUCACUACUACAGCCUAAUUGCCGGACAAUUUCUCAUUCCUCUUACCAGAUUCUGGUGGAGCAGUGCAUUCUUCCUGGUUCUUACAGGCUAUAAAACCAGGCUAAAGUUAACCGUCGGGUGUGAACAACAGUUCCCGAGUCGAACUUUCAGUACUGGUCUAUCCCCACUUAUGUGAUUAUAAGCCAACAGGAACUCCAGAUGGAAACAAAUUAUUUAUUGAAGUAAUUGAUAUCUUUUGAAUUCAUCCGUCGAAGGAAAACAUUUAUAUAUUCGUACAGUAGACCUCUUGCAGUGCUGAUGCAAUGCAACAUUAGCCUCUACUCUUGCAGCAUUUUAGUGAAACAAAAUUAUACAAUUUCCUCAAAACAUCCAACGGAGCAAAAUGACCCCAACAUGGAAGAGAUUUACAAUGAAUAUGAAUAACAGGCCAUAACUUAAAAGCAAAUGAUCAGGGUAAAAAGUGAGGAUAAUCAGUAAAACUCAUGUAAGUGCCAUCAUCACCUGGAAGGAAGCUCUGAUUGUUGACCACUCAGAGAAGGAUUUGAUGAGUUAGAAGGUAGGGGGCCAUUCUCUUGCGAGGAUGGCCCACCCCACUUGAGUUCUACAUCAGAUGGUUCAAUCACAUGCACUGCACCAUCACUCAUGCCAAGUGCAAUCUGAUUGGGCUCAGAUGGAUGAGCUGCUAUAACCAUAGGAUAUGCAGUGUUGCCUGCCACAAAUGAAGGUAUGUAAGCAGAAGGUGCUAUUCUACACCUGACCCUCAAGCCAUCUGCAUCAAAAACGCCAACAGCACCAUCACAAAACCCAGUAUACACCAGCAAACCAUCACUCGAAUAUAUCGCACUUGAAAUGGGAGCAGCAAGCGUGUCCUUCGGAUACCACUGCAAGAUCAUAGAUUGAACAAUAUAAAUGAAUAAACGAAAAUAAUUUCAUUCUUCCAAAUUUUAUAUUUUCAGUAAAAGGGCAAAUAGCACAUUAUCACCAAUUUUCCACAAUGUUAGUUGUGAUACUCAGUGACACAGGGCAAUUCAUAGGCCAACGUUUUUGGUUGCAAUUUUUACAUAAAUGAGCACCAUGUAUCGAGUCAAGUACCAAGUGAGUCUAUACUGGUUCUACAACAGGAUAGUCAAAAAUCAAAUUGAUUUCCAAUACAAAAAUUAAUUAUGUCAAAUUCGGGUUUAUCUAAAUAAAAAAUUGACCACAAAAAAAUCAGAUGUACUAUAAAACUCAAACAAUUCAGAUUUACAAUACUUUUCAUUUCGGCAGUCACUAAAAAAGUAGCAUUUUCUGCGUGGACAGGUGCAAGAGGAACAACUCUAUCCGGCUCAAAUUGUAAACUUUUAUGGCAUUAUCAAUCAUUAGGAAGUUUAUAUAGAAAGGAUGCUAACAUUUUCAAAAAUCAGAUAUUGUCUUCUAAUUCAGCUAUGGGACAAAGUGGUUCUUGGUUUCUUUGUGGGCUUGUGCACAAGGGUUUUCAAAGGAUUGUCUUCAAGUGGCACUACUGUUUGUCUUAUAAUUGGUGCUCCUUUUGUUUCAUGAUGUUUUAGAUAUAAGGAAACUUUAUUUUCCACUUUGUAAAUCCUCUCUCUUAGAAUGUCCCUUUCUUAUCAAUAAAAAAACAAAGUCGAGGGUAGAGAACUUACUGAUCGCAAGCAUUCAAGUUUGC